rnacentral:rRNA from 1 species
CAGUAGCCGCGGUAACACGUAGGCAGCGAGCGUUGUUCGGAAUUACUGGGCGUAAAGAGUGUGUAGGCGGUGCUAUAAGUUCGGUGUGAAAUCUCCCGGCUCAACUGGGAGGGUGCGCCGAAAACUGUAGUGCUCGAACGUGGGAGAGGAAAGCGGAAUUCCUGGUGUAGCGAUGAAAUGCGUAGAUAUCAGGAGGAACACCUGCGGUGUAGACGGCUUUCUGGACCAUUGUUGACGCUGAGACACGAAAGCGUGGGUAGCAAGCAGGAUUAGAUACCCGGGUAGUCCCUGUCUCUUAUAC